rnacentral:rRNA from 1 species
UCAGACUGCACGAGAUAAGUUGGGCAGUCAAAAGGGAAAGAGCCCAGACCUUCAGUUAAGGUCCCAAAGUGUGCGUUAAGUGGAAAAGGAUGUGGGAUUUCGAAGACAACCAGGAUGUUGGCUCAGAAGCAGCCAUUCAUUCAAAGAGUGCGUAAUAGCUCACUGGUCGAGUGAAGUUGCGCGGAAAAUUACCGGGGCUAAGCUAUACACCGAAAUUGCGGAUUUACAUUUGAAAGACAAUGUAAGUGGUAGAGGAGCAUUCUGUAGUAGGAAGAAGCAUGACCGUAAGGACAUGUGGACGAAGCAGAAGAGAGAAUGCUGGAAUAAGUAGCGAGAGGAUGGUGAGAAUCCAUCCCGUCGAAAAUCUAAGGUUUCCCAGGGAAGGUUCGUCCGCCUGGGGUAAGUCGGGACCUAAGGAGAGGCCGAAAGGCGUAUCUGAUGGAUAGCAGGUUGAAAUUCCUGCACUACGAAUAUACUUAAAAGAUUCAAGGGACGCAGAAGUGGAAGAUAACCAAGUAAGAGGAAAAGCUUGGCUCGCAAGAGGGAGUGAAAAUUAAAAGUAACGAAGUAUCAAGAAGCACGCUGACGAGAAAAGCUUGAAGAUAUUGUAUAUAAGUACCCGUACCGCAAACCGACACAGGUAGAUGAGGAGAGGAUCCUAAGACGAGCGGGAGAAGCAUUGUUAAGGAACUCGGCAAACUAACCCCGUAACUUCGGAAUAAGGGGUGCUGAUGUAACAGUCAGUCGCAGAGAAAAGGCCCAAGCAACUGUUUAACAAAAACAUAGGUUUCUGCUAAAUCGAAAGAUGAAGUAUAGGAGCUGACGCCUGCCCAGUGCUGGAAGGUUAAGGGAAAGAGUUAGGGUUAAACCGAAGCUUAGAACUGAAGCCCCAGUGAACGGCGGCCGUAACUAUAACGGUCCUAAGGUAGCGAAAUUCCUUGUCAGGUAAGUUCUGACCCGCACGAAAGGCGUAAUGAUUUGGGCGCUGUCUCGACAAUGUCCCCGGCGAAAUUGUAGUACUAGUGAAGAUGCUAGUUACCUGCGAUAAGACAGAAAGACCCCAUGGAGCUUUACUGCAGUUUGAUACUGGGUUUCGAUGAUUUAUGUACAGGAUAGUUGGGAGACUAUGAAAGAGAGGCGUCAGCUUCUCCGGAGUCAUUGUUGGGAUACCAACCUUAAGUUAUUGAAAUUCUAACUUGUAAUCGUAAACCGGUUAGAGGACAAUGUCAGACGGGCAGUUUGACUGGGGCGGUCGCCUCCUAAAGAGUAACGGAGGCGCCCAAAGGUUUCCUCAGCGCGGACAGAAAUCGCGCGAAAGAGUGCAAAGGCAGAAGGAAGCUUAACUGAGAGACAGACAUGUCGACCAGAUACGAAAGUAGGGCUUAGUGAUCCGGUGGUUGUAAAUGGAAAUGCCAUCGCUCAACGGAUAAAAGUUACCCUGGGGAUAACAGGCUUAUCUCCCCCAAGAGUUCACAUCGACGGGGAGGUUUGGCACCUCGAUGUCGGCUCAUCGCAUCCUGGAGCUGAAGUCGGUUCCAAGGGUUGGGCUGUUCGCCCAUUAAAGCGGUACGCGAGCUGGGUUCAGAACGUCGUGAGACAGUUCGGUCCUUAUCUAUCGCAGGCGUAAGAUAUUUGAAGAGUGCUGUCCUUAGUACGAGAGGACCAGGAUGGACAUACCAAUGGUGUAUCAGUUGUCUCACCAGAGGCACGGCUGAGUAGCUAAGUAUGGAUUGGAUAAACGCUGAAAGCAUCUAAGUGUGAAGCCCACCUCAAGAUGAGAUUUCCCAUGAUUUU